rnacentral:rRNA from 1 species
UACGUAGGGGGCUAGCGUUGUCCGGAAUCAUUGGGCGUAAAGCGCGUGUAGGCGGCCCGGUAAGUCCGCUGUGAAAGUCGGGGGCUCAACCCUCGGAAGCCGGUGGAUACUGUCGGGCUCGAGUACGGAAGAGGCGAGUGGAAUUCCCGGUGUAGCGGUGAAAUGCGUAGAUAUCGGGAGGAACAUCAGUGGCGAAGGCGGCCUUCUGGUCCAGUACUGACACUCAAGUGCGAAAGCGUGGGUAGCAAACAGG